UCGCCAGUGUAACAUGGGUGCUAAACUGAAUGUGUUUUGCAGCUGUGAUAUGAACGUUGCUGGCAAAAUAAAAUGCCAGGGUACGAGCCUUAAGGAUUGUAUUGGUAUUCUUUGAGGUCCCUAAGAAUGGUAACAUUA